UCCCUCAUAGCUCAGUUGGGAAAUCAUCUGCCUGCAAUGCAGGAGACCCAGGUUCAAUUCCUGGGUCGGGAA
rnacentral:tRNA from 1 species